rnacentral:rRNA from 1 species
GAUGAACGCUGGCGGCGUGCCUAAUACAUGCAAGUAGAACGCACAGUUUAUACCGUAGCUUGCUACAGCAUAAACCGUGAGUUGCGAACGGGUGAUUAACGCGUAGGUAACCUGACAGGGAGCGGGGGAUAACAAACGCAAACGAUAGCUAAUACCGCAUGAUAUUGAUUAUGGCAUGGUAAUUGAUGGAAAGAUGCUAUUGCAUCACUACCAGAGGGACCGGCGUUGUAUUAGCUAGUAGGCGAGGUAACGGACAACCGAGGCGACGAUACAUAAACGCCCUGCGAGCGUGCGAGGCCUCGCUGGGACUGGGACACGGCCCACACUCCUACGGGUGGCAGCAGUACGGAAUCUUCGGGAAAGGACGAAAGUCUGAACGAGAGACGCCGGGGGCGUGAAUAAGGUUGUCGGGUCGUGUAGCUCAGUUGUGAGAGAGGAACGGGUGUCAGUGUCGAAUGUUCACACUGUGACGGUAUCUUAACAGGAAGCGACGGCUAACUACGUG